rnacentral:rRNA from 1 species
UACGUAGGUGGCAAGCGUUAUCCGGAAUUAUUGGGCGUAAGGCGCGCGCAGGCGGUUUCUUAAGUCUGAUGUGAAAGCCCACGGCUCAACCGUGGAGGGUCAUUGGAAACUGGGGAACUUGAGUGCAGAAGAGAAAAGCGGAAUUCCACGUGUAGCGGUGAAAUGCGUAGAGAUGUGGAGGAACACCAGUGGCGAAGGCGGCUUUUUGGUCUGUAACUGACGCUGAGGCGCGAAAGCGUGGGGAGCAAACAGG